rnacentral:misc_RNA from 1 species
GAUGAAGAACGCAGCGAAAUGCGAUAAGUAAUGUGAAUUGCAGAAUUCAGUGAAUCAUCGAAUCUUUGAACGCACAUUGCGCCCCCUGGUAUUCCGGGGGCCAUGCCUGUUCGAGCGUCAUUUCACCACUCAAGCCUCGCUUGGUAUUGGGCAACGCGGUCCGCCGCGUGCCUCAAAUCGACCGGCUGGGUCUUCUGUCCCCUAAGCGUUGUGGAAACUAUUCGCUAAAGGGUGCUCGGGAGGCUACGCCGUAAAACAAACCCAUUUCUAAGGUUGACCUCGGAUCAGGUAGGGAUACCCGCUGAACUUAAGCAUAUCAAUAAGCGGAGGA